UUAUUCUAUAUAUAUUUCCUUAUACGUUUUCUAUAUUAUUUUUUAUUUUAUUUAUAUUUUUUUAUCCGUUAUUCUAUGAUAUUUUCCCAUAAUUUUCAAACAAAAUUAUGUAAUCAAACAAUUUCUUACACAAAAAUUGAAAUGAUAUUAAUCGUUAACUUAUUUUAUUUUUAUUCAGUUCACCGGAUAUUGAUUAUAAUUUUUACCACGUGGUGUAUCGAGUGACAAAUAUAUAAAAUCCAAGCAAUAAAUAUAAAAAUUAACCUAAUCAGUGUAUCUUGAAGCGUGCCAUCAUUAUCUUUGUCGAAAAGAAAAAGAGAGGGAAUCGAUAUCGUUUUGAAGAAUUUAAUCUGUAUAUUUCUUUAAAUAAAAACAAAUUAUCAACAAAGCACGGUUGUGUAAUAUGUUAUGUGAUAUUGAAGAAAAUGUCAACUCCAUAUAUUUUUUAAAGAAUCUAUUUUAAAGAUGAUAAAAUAUUCCACAAUUCAUAAAUAAAACAUACAUGCAUUUUUCACAAUUUUGGUUUUAAGUCUCGAAAAAUAUUAUUUUAUAAUAAAGAUAUCUAAUUAAAUCUUUGGUUAAUUUUAUAAUUUUGCAAUUGAAAUUUGCAAUUACAAUUUUUUAAUCGGAUUUUAAAUUAGGAAUAUUUAAUCCUUUUAAUUUAUCAAUUAGAUAUUAUAAGGUAUUAUAAAGUAUUAUAAGAAAAUGUCUUAUUUAUACAUGCUAUUAUAAUUAAUAAUAUUUUAUAAUAUAUGUUAAUAUAUUAUUAGUAAUGUAAUAAAAUUUUAAUUAUAAUAUUUCAGCAAUAAUUUAUUAUAAUAUUAUAUUGAUAUAAAUAGAAAUGUUAAUUCACGAUAUUUUAAUAAUAAUAAUAAAUAUUUUAAUAAUAAAUAAAAUCAAUUUUUGUAAAAUAUUUAUUAAAGCAUAAAUAAUAUUAUAUAAUGUUAUUUAUUUAUAGUAUAGAAGAAUUAAUGAAGAAUUAAAGUUAUGAUUGAUUAAGAAUCAUUUUUGAAUUGUCAAUUGUAUCAUUUUCAAUAUUAUCAAACACUUGUCCAAUAUUUAUUUCAUAUUAUAUGUUUAUUUUUUGUUAUACAUUUUAUACAUUUAUUAUUUGUUCAAAUAAAAUCGAUUUUCUUUAUCUUCUGAAAAAUAACAUUUUUCGUGGUCAUAUAAAAGGAAAACCGUUGUAGUCGAUAUUUUAAUAAUGUAAUUCCUUAUCAAGAAUAAAUUAUUUAAAAUAAAAAGAUCGUAUAAAUGUAAAAUAAUUUUCAAUAGAUAGUGAAUUACAAAUUAAUUAGACAAUUACGAUUUUUUAAAAUCUUUCAAUUUAUUUUAAUUAUUUUAAUUAUCAUUAAUGUUAGAAAAUUAUAUAUAACGAUAAAAAUUCUUUUCUUAUCAACUUACAUAUUCAUAAUAAAUGUAAUAAUUAUUUUAUUACUCAGUUUCUUUCAUUUAUCCGUCAAUCACGUGAAAAAGCAAAAAGAAAAACAGUUGAAACUCUAAUAAAAACUAAUCGCGCUAUUAAAACAUUAUAUAUCUUCUAGAUUAAUGAGCUUCUUCCCCAAGCUGAAAAUGAUUGUGCAAUUAACGUUCAUAGGGGUGUUCGUGGCAAUCCCAUGCGCGUGUUAAUGGUUCUGCUAAACAACCCAAAGGAGGCUCUCGAUACGAUCACUUCGACCCUGAUAAACGGGUAAACAAGUAGGUAAUGUCGACAGUAGUAACGGUUCGGUGUGUGGUCAGACGCGCACACGUGACUGCAGUUGCAUCGUGUUGCGCUAAUUCGAUGCAAAUAUAAAUUGAUCUCGACGACUCUUGUCGAUUGAUCACGCGGCCAGAAAAAUCUAUCGCGUCCUUUGAUCCGUGACUGUGCGCGGCGUGUUAUUCGCGAGCAAGUAUUUUAACGUUCGAGCUGUUACAUUAGUGAUGCAAAUGAUGAACGCAAAUAUAAAAUGAUCAUUCCAAGAUCCAUUCGUGGGAUGGUGCGGCCACGUGGUGCAUCGAUAACAUUCUGUCACUGCAACGACCGCGUGUGCACGCACACAUGUGAAAUCGUAUACGCGUGGAAGGCAUCGACCGAAUAACAGUCCUCGACUCUUUGUCUCUCUGUCGCACCCGCGACCUCGUGUCUACAUCCUCCGGUCUCCGUCGUCGCCGAUUGAAUAAGGAACACACACGAGAUAUUUGGAGAUAUUUAUAAUGCAUGGACGCGUGCGACAUCGGUUAGAAAGAGAGAAAUACCCGAUGAACGGAGGAUCGAAUGGUCGGCUGGCGGGUUUCGUUGGGAUCACUGGGGAAAGGCGAACCGGAGAGACAUUGGGGCAGGUCGUGCACAAACGUGCCGCCACGGAAGCUUGCAAGGUGAGGAGGAGAAACGAUAUACGAAGAUAGAGACGGAGAAAACGCGUGGAAACCGUUUGGGGAACGAAGAUGCCGAAAGAAUGGGUUGGCGAAGGGACGAGGUGAAUAGGGAAUGAGAAAUGGCGAGAUAGAGAUUAGGCGAUUUGUAUCGAACACGACGUGUACAACAUCUUGGAGAUUUUGCUUUUUUAAGAUCGCUCUCAUUGCUCGUUUUCCUAUAUCGUGCGUGUUUCUAAACGUUUUGUGUAUAACGUUGACCGUGAAUCGAUCGAGCAGGUAAUAAAUAAGGGAUGGGCCAUUGUACGGCCGAUUUGGUAAUCGCCGUUUUAGGAAGGUGCUAAUGCAUUUCGAUUAAUUGCUUAUACCAUUCUGCAUUGUGUUCCAGUCGUGGAUAAACUGGUAAUCUCAAUUAGAGGCCAAGUUAAAUGUGUUGAUACGCACAUUUAGGUUCGAGUUUGAUCGAAAAUUUAACUUUUCAAGGAAAAAACGUACUUUUAAGAGGAAUUACUAUUAUUUUCAAUACCAAAUUCUCUUUUUUUUCUUUUUUUUUUUGACCAUUUACGGAUAAAUUAAAACAUCGAAGUUAAUUCGCAACGUGUACAAAGACGUACGAUUUCGGCUGAAAUUCUUUUAGUCGGAAAGGAAAAAAGAAAAAGAAAGCUCGUGUUUUCGAAUAUCCGUGUUGGCAAGCGUUCGACACCGCUCGACGAGGGGAGGAGGAGGAGAGGAAAGUGAAAAGAAAACGAAUCAACGAUGAUGUGUCGGACGUCGCGCACGAACGCCCAUUCAUACGUCCGCAGAGAGAUAUUUAUUGGGGAAAGAGAGUGAGAGGGAAAGAGGAACGACCAGACGAGGAUUAUGUAAUUUGUAUCUGGUAGAUUAGUUUUACGACACUUCGGUUCCUGUUACCGGACUGUGUCCCCACCAGCCGGUUGUACGUACUGUUGCGUGGGCACGCGACGUGAAUCAUUGUUCGUCAGAAUAUAUUAAAUGAUCCAGACUGAUAGGCGUACUACGGGUAAAGAGGCGCCUCGAAUGUUGUCGAAUUUACUGGCGUAGGUCAGUGCACGGAUUCUGACACCGUUGUUUCAAACCGCUUCGAAUUCCGCGCGUGCCUGGAAUUUCUUUUUCGAUACUCGGAUCGUUGUAAAAUUGGAGUACCACGAGUUUUGCGAAUGAGCUAAUCUUUUUGUUGUUAACCGAUUUAAACGAUUUCUGGUACAUGCGCAUCAUGUAUGCAUCAUGAUAUUAAAUAGUGGGAAUAAUAUUCGGAUUCUGAAAAUAUUUGUGUAUCAUUGCAUCGAUAGGAAAGUUAUAUAUGGUUUUUGAUUCCGAUAAGAUAAACAAUCUCGAAUGAACGCAUCAUCGUUUAUCGAUAAAUUUCAUUUCACGAUUAUUCUUGUUUAAGCAAAUGAAAAUUAUGUCUGUUAAAUAAGUUGUUAGAAAAUAACAAGCUAUGUUAUGUAAUAGAUUUAAAGAAGACGUGCAGUUAUUCCUGAAAAAAAGAACAUAUAUUUUGUCUGGUUGGAAAGUGACGAGACGACAUUAUGGAAAUCGAAGUUCAUGGGAAACGAUAUCUUGCACCGUUAACGUCGCUUCCUUUAGCCCACUUUCGUGACAAUGUACCAUGUGGCCGGAAUAUAUAUUGUUGAGGUGGAUGCGGUUUCUGGUUUGUACGUACAUUAGAGGACCGUUCGAGUAGAAAGUACAACACGGCGGGAAACUUGCAAGUUUGUUGGAUAAGUCUCUGUGUCCUAUAGUAACUCUUAUAGUAAGAAGGUAAAUGAUAUUUGACGCGUCUUUUAAAAUAUUUAUGAGAUAAUGAUGAAAUCUGUGCAAAAUAUGAUAAUUCUAUACGAAAUUUCGAUAUUUGAUGCGAAUUUCUUUUCAAUGCUACGUGAUUUUUUUUAAAAGCUUGGAACUUCAAGAUGUGUUUCACGGAUAGCAAGUAAAUAUUUAUUCAAAUUUUUAUUUUUCAAAAUAUAAAUUUUUAUAUUCCUUCUCAUCUAUAAAAUGUUUCUAUUACAUUUUGAUAAUAAUAUGUCUGCAUUUAUUUAAUAAAAUCUUAAUAUCCCACUUUAUUUAACGCAAACUUAAAAUUAUUUAUAACUUAAUAAGGUCCAAUUGAUAUUUUUGCAUAUCGAUUUUUGUAUUUUUAAUAUCCUGUUUAUAAAAGAUCCAAUAAAAAUAUAAAAUUGUAUUUUGUACAAUAUCAAGAUAAAUUUCAAAUUAGUUAUAAAAAUAUCACUAUAGUAAAAAUAUUUGUCUAUAUGUUUAUACGUUAUAAAAAAUUUAAAAGUAUAA